CAUGAAGCUGGAAUUGCUAGUAAUCACAGGUCAGCAUACUGUGGUGAAUACGUUCCCGGGCCUUGUACACACCGCCCGUCACACCAUGAGAGUUGAGAAUACCCGAAGCCCAUGUCAAAGUGGUCGAAGGUAGGCUUGAUGAUUGGGGUGAAGUCGUAACAAGGUACC
rnacentral:rRNA from 1 species